rnacentral:rRNA from 1 species
AACGAACGCUGGCGGCAUGCCUAACACAUGCAAGUCGAACGAGACCUUCGGGUCUAGUGGCGCACGGGUGCGUAACGCGUGGGAAUCUGCCCUUGGGUUCGGAAUAACUUCGGGAAACUGAAGCUAAUACCGGAUGAUGACGUAAGUCCAAAGAUUUAUCGCCCAAGGAUGAGCCCGCGUAGGAUUAGCUAGUUGGUGGGGUAAAGGCCUACCAAGGCGACGAUCCUUAGCUGGUCUGAGAGGAUGAUCAGCCACACUGGGACUGAGACACGGCCCAGACUCCUACGGGAGGCAGCAGUGGGGAAUAUUGGACAAUGGGCGAAAGCCUGAUCCAGCAAUGCCGCGUGAGUGAUGAAGGCCUUAGGGUUGUAAAGCUCUUUUACCCGGGAUGAUAAUGACAGUACCGGGAGAAUAAGCUCCGGCCAACUUCGUGCCAGCCGCCGCCGUAAUAC